CCUACGGGAGGCAGCAGUGAGGAAUAUUGGUCAAUGGGCUUACGCCUGAACCAGCCAAGCCGCGUGAGGGAAGACUGCCCUAUGGGUUGUAAACCUCUUUUGUCAGGGAGCAACGCCGGCUACGUGUAGCCGGACUGAGAGUACCUGAAGAAAAAGCAUCGGCUAACUCCGUGCCAGCAGCCGCGGUAAUACGGAGGAUGCGAGCGUUAUCCGGAUUUAUUGGGUUUAAAGGGUGCGUAGGCGGAAUGCCAAGUCAGCGGUAAAAGCCCGGGGCUCAACCCCGUCGUGCCGUUGAAACUGAUGUU
rnacentral:rRNA from 1 species